CGGCAGGCUUGGCGCCUUUUCCGCGCCGGCGGCUUGCCGGUGGUCGAGUGACUUCGGUGGCCUGUGGGACCGAGUUGCCGUGGUGACGGCCGGGCGUUGCCGCGUGUGACACCUGGAUGAGAGCUUGCUGGAGGAGGCUGGCGAGGCUGAGCGCCGGAGUUUCCACGGAGUAAAGCACUCAGACACAUACUAGGUACUCAGUAAGCAUUGGACUUGGAGCAGAGGAGACCUUCCUGUCCAUCUUCCUACAAUGCUACCAAUUCCAGCCUUCCCCAAGGAGGCUUAGGGGAUUCCAAUUUCCAAACCAGACAUGAUUUCCCAGUUACAGACAGCAGAGGAACCAUGGAUGCUGUAAAGAGAAGUGCCAUGAGGUUUCUGUCCAGUCCAGAUGCUUUAAUCUUCGAAGAGGAACUCGAAUGCCACUCAUUUCGCCGUGCAUGUUUGCCUCAAUCAAAAGCACCCUUGCAGUCUGCUCUGUUUGGCUGACACUCUUUACCACCGCUGGCCAAAAUGGGUGAUCCUGGAAUUUGAACCAGACCAUCAUUCCUCCUUCAAUGGGACAAGGCUCCUGUGGAAAAGCCAUGCUUGUCGGUUGUCCCAUUUCCUUGCUGACAUCCUUUUUAAUAGCAGUGGUGGGGCUGAUAGCCUUUGAGCUGACGGAAGGCUGAAGUCCUUGCAGCCCUUUCUCAAACUCUGGUACCUGCAGCUGCCUUUUUCUAUUUGCCAGACGGAGUGAAUAACGCAGCUUCGGGUUAGGGGCACUGGAGGAUGCUGCCACACCUUCCAAGCCUGGCUUCCAGGGACCCUCUCCGUGGUCCCCAACAUUCCCGGAGAAGGCAGAGCAUUCAGAGGAGACGGCCAGGGUCUUUGGGUCGGUGUCACGUGCCUCUUCUUUCAGAGCCUUGGGUACAGUGAGGUUGAACCCUGGUGGCAGAGAUGGAAGGGCGCCUCCGUCUUUAGCACUUGUACCCUCCUCCUUGACUGGGCAACGCAAGGGCCUGACUCUUGAGGCGUCCCUCUUUUCCUUGCCCUCUUUCUCAUAAUCACCCUCUGAAAGUGACGGGAAGUUUGGGUACAUGCUGGAGCUUUGUGAGGACUCCCCUUGCAUUUUCCUUGGAAUAGGAGUGACGGUUCUGUGUGCCCGUGGUCGGCCACCGUCUGGGGCGUCCUCACUCUGUGAACGUACCAGCAGCGAUUUGAGUUUUUUGCUUUUCCUAAGACCCCUCAGUAAGUUCCCUUUGGGCUUCCGGUACUUUCUACGAGAUCGCUUUUGUGGUCCCCUUUGGGACGGCUUAAUGGUCUCUGGAUCAUCUGAUGCUCUUGCUGGACCCAAAUUUGCUCUCUCAUUCAGAAUCUCCAGUGCCACUGUAAGAGCGUUUCUGUAGGGCACUUCCUGUCCUGGUGGGACACUGGCCUCCGACUCGGCUAUUAGCAAGGAGGUAAUGUAUUCAAUUUGAGACUCAUUUAGGAUCUUUAUGUCUGUGCUUUUCACUUCAAUUUUUUCAUCUACGGAGAGUAUCUCAACUUUUAGAGAAAGUGCCCCUUUCCUCUUAUUUUUUGGUGAGAUCCUAGAUCUGGACAAAACCUUUGCUGGCCAAAAAUGGCCUUUCCAAUUGCACAGGACAUACUCAGCAUCCAUUAUGAUUUGAGUUUCCUCUCAAGAGGUAAUUAACAGAGGUCGCGAGGUCUGGCCAUCAUACCCACAGGCACGGCAGGUCUUCCCUAAAGCAAUGUUGUUCACCACACCUCUUUGGCCUGGGACCACAAAGGGCUUACGGCUUGCAUGGCCUGUCCUUCUUCACCUGAAUCUCCCAGGGUCGCUGGAACUUGUGUUUUGAAUGGACUAUACUGGAGAAUACUGGAAUGUGGAAAGGGAAAAGAAGAAAAGUAUUAGAAAAAAAUUCCUUUUGUGAAAGUAGAAGAACAUUGGUCGAUGAGAAUUGAUAAGAGAUAAAACAAAGAAAUAUAAAGAGUGUGUAUCAGACAGGGG